ensembl:lncRNA
CAUGAUACCUCUGUGUGACUCCAGGCAUGAGUGAAGGUCAGAACAAAGAAAAUGACUAAGAGCAAAGCUACAUCUGCACAUUUCAUCAUUCUCCGUAUCUCUGAAUAAAACUGCUUUGAAGUGCUACCCUAAGGACUACAUUCAAAGAUACUGAAAGGCUGAUCUCAGGUCUCCGGAGUCUUCUGUUCUCCAGGCUGAACAUCCCCAAUUUACUUUGCUUUAUCACCAAACCUACUGAUUCUUGUGAGGAUCAGAGUUAGUUUAAUUCCUCUUAAAUUCAGUCUUGAAAUAAGUUAUUCCAUAUGCUGAAUAAUGUAUUAGUGCUGAAUAAUGUAUUAGUAUGAAGGCUGCUCAAGAAGCUCUGUAAAUGCACCCUGUUUGAAACUGCAUGUGACUAUACACUGUAAGAAGCUGAAGUACUAGAUGCAGUUCAUGGAAAAAACAAAGCAACUAAUCAUUUAUCAAGCCACAUGCAGCAAGGUGUAUUAUUGCAACAACAUAAUUUCAGUGCCAAAUGCAAUUUUCUUAAAAAAAAAAAAUAAAAAAAAAAAUCUGUAUAUAUGUGAUUAUG